GAGUUUGAUCAUGGCUCAGGAUGAACGCUAGCGAUAGGCUUAACACAUGCAAGUCGAGGGGCAGCAUAGAGUCAGCUUGCUGAUUUGGAUGGCGACCGGCGGAUGGGUGCGUAACGCGUAUGCAACUUACCUGUCAGAGGGGGAUAACCCGGAGAAAUUCGGACUAAUACCGCAUACACUUGAGAUACUGCAUGGUAUUUCAAGGAAAUAUUUAUAGCUGACAGAUAGGCAUGCGUUCCAUUAGCUAGUAGGUGAGGUAACGGCUCACCUAGGCGACGAUGGAUAGGGGAACUGAGAGGUUAAACCCCCACACUGGUACUGAGACACGGACCAGACUCCUACGGGAGGCAGCAGUGAGGAAUAUUGGUCAAUGGGCGAGAGCCUGAACCAGCCAAUUCGCGUGAAGGAUGACUGCCCUAUGGGUUGUAAACUUCUUUAGUAGGGGAUUAAAGUUUGCCUUGCGAGGCAAU
rnacentral:rRNA from 1 species